rnacentral:RNase_P_RNA from 1 species
CGAGCCGGCCAGGCAAUCGCCGGUCGCUUCGGUUUGCCGGUGCGGCGGGAGGAAAGUCCGGGCUCCGGCGGACGGGACGCCAGGUAACGCCUGGGGGGCGCAAGCCCACGGAAAGUGCCACAGAAAAUAUACCGCCCGGCGCCUUCGGGAAUGCCGGGUAAGGGUGAAAAGGUGCGGUAAGAGCGCACCGCGCGGCUGGCAACAGCCGCGGCAGGGUAAACCCCGUCCGGAGCAAGGCCGAAUAGGGAAGCCAUGCGUAUGUCCGCACGCGCUUCCGGGUAGGCUGCUUGAGGCCGUCGGCGACGGCGGCCCUAGAUGAAUGAUUGCCCUCGACAGAACCCGGCUUAUCGGCCGGCUUGCCCC